AACGAACGCUGGCGGCAUGCCUAAUACAUGCAAGUCGAACGAUCACUUCGGUGGUAGUGGCGCACGGGUGCGUAACGCGUGGGAAUCUGCCCUUGGGUUCGGAAUAACGUCGGGAAACUGACGCUAAUACCGGAUGCUUACGUCAGUCCAAAGAUUUAUCGCCCAGGGAUGAGCCCGCGUAGGAUUAGCUAGUUGGUGGGGUAAAGGCCUACCAAGGCGACGAUCCUUAGCUGGUCUGAGAGGAUGAUCAGCCACACUGGGACUGAAGACACGGCCCAGACUCCUACGGGAGGCAGCAGUAGGGAAUAUUGGACAAUGGGGGCAACCCUGAUCCAGCAAUGCCGCGUGAGUGAUGAAGGCCUUAGGGUUGUAAAGCUCUUUUACCCGGGAUGAUAAUGACAGUACCGGGAGAAUAAGCCCCGGCUAACUCCGUGCCAGCCGCCGCCGUAA
rnacentral:rRNA from 1 species